CAACGGCGAGCUAUACAUGCAAGUCGAGCGAAUGGAUUAAGAGCUUGCUCUUAUGAAGUUAGCGGCGGACGGGUGAAGUCCUAGCGGGGUACCCGACCAUAAGACUGGGAUAACUCCGGGAAACCGGGGCUAAUACCGGAUAACAUUUUGAACCGCAUGGUUCGAAAUUGAAAGGCGGCUUCGGCUGUCACUUAUGGAUGGACCCGCGUCGCAUUAGCUAGUUGGUGAGGUAACGGCUCACCAAGGCAACGAUGCGUAGCCGACCUGAGAGGGUGAUCGGCCACACUGGGACUGAGACACGGCCCAGACUCCUACGGGAGGCAGCAGUAGGGAAUCUUCCGCAAUGGACGAAAGUCUGACGGAGCAACGCCGCGUGAGUGAUGAAGGCUUUCGGGUCGUAAAACUCUGUUGUUAGGGAAGAACAAGUGCUAGUUGAAUAAGCUGGCACCUUGACGGUACCUAACCAGAAAGCCACGGCUAACUACGUGCCAGCAGCCGCGGUAAUACGUAGGUGGCAAGCGUUAUCCGGAAUUAUUGGGCGUAAAGCGCGCGCAGGUGGUUUCUUAAGUCUGAUGUGAAAGCCCACGGCUCAACCGUGGAGGGUCAUUGGAA
rnacentral:rRNA from 1 species